AUACAUAAUACAUAUGUGAGAAAAACACGCGUGAGUUCUCUCUUUCUCGGAAUAACGUCUGAGCUGAAGAGUUGAAGUACUGAUCUGAAGAACUGAAUAGAUGAAGAACUGAAGUUGAAGAAUUGAUUUCGUCAAGCGUGAGUUCGAUUCUCUUCUCCGAUAACAAUUUCGUUAAGCAAGAGGAGAAUAAGAAGGAAUUGAUAACUUUGGGGUUGUUGGCUAAGAACACGAUUUCAGACAGAACUGAAGCUAGGAACACGAUUUCAGACCGAACGGAAGAGCUCAACAACUGAAGAGAUUCUCGCUGAAGGACACGAUUUUCAUCAUAGUUCUCGCUGAAAACAUGAUUUUGUUGGAAUAGGGUUUAUCAGAAAGACUGAGGAGCUUGAAUUGAAGAAGACGCAACAAGAAACCAAAGCUAUUGAAACUUCAAGAAAAGCUAUUCCAUCAAUGUGGCAGGAAAUGUGCAAGAAACAAUUAAUGAUAGCCAAUUCAGAUUUCAUGGAAAAUAUGGAGGUAUUCUAAUUAAUCAACCUAUAUGUAUGUUAUUGCCUUGCAUGUGGAAUUAGAUGCAACUCACACUUUCAUAAUUUCAUAUUAUGUUGUAACUCACAUUUGAGAUACACAACUCAAUCAUUUCUGAUGCCUCUAAUGUAAUCCAUAAAAAAUGCACUAUUUCCCCUCUAUAGUUCUUUGAGUUUUAUUUCUAGUUAGGGUGAAGGGGAAAGGGAGAGGUGGGGCUGAAUUAUGUUUGAUUAGUGAGGAAGUAGAGAGAUUCAUGGUACUGUAAGAUAUGCAUGUUACCGUAGGAGUCGUGAUAUUUUUAGUACUAGUAAUUUCUGUCGACUGUUAAAUGUUAAUUAAUUGGGUGAUGAAUACGGAAAAAGUUUCUGAACCUUGUGUCUAAACUGAAAGAAAAAGAUAACGCGAUCACAACAUUUAUGUUGUCGGCUCAACAAUUUUCUGAAGUUAAGAGAAAGGAAAUGGAACAAGGAAGUGAGAAACAGGGAGUGCAAGCAGUAGAUGUAGCAAUGGAGAGAUCAAAUGAUCAAGGCAAGGAGAUAACAACAAUUACACUAAUAAUUUGGUCCAAACACCACCCUCAGUCUCUUCUUCUACUGCCAUAGCUCCUCUUUCAUUGCUGCCUUACACUAAUAAUUUUCAUAACAACAACCUAGCAUUCCCUGUCAAGCCUGUCCCUGAAAGACGAAUAGUCACUGUUACUGUCUCCAUCAUAUCUGGUGAAACAUGGUAUGAAGCUGGGGAUAACAUGAUGAACUACUCAACUGGAAACAAGUCAACAACUCUUAUCAACAUAAAUGAUGUCCCUCAUAACGUUGGUGAAGGAUUUCCCCAUGCCCGAACAUCAAGACAAACUAUAACCACAACAAUUACCGUCACACCUCAUAUGAGUAAAGCACGACAAGUUUUAGGUGAUAACAGGGAUAACAAGGUUAGCAUCAGCAGGAAUGAGUACAGUCAUCAACAAGCAAGCAACUAUUGUUCUUCUUAAGAAAUUUUUGUUUAACAUGUAACACUAUGAUCCACUUUCAAGUUCCAUACACAAUUUAUACCAACUAAAACCCCUGAGGACAGUGGAACAUUUAACACGACUGAAAUUCCAUUAACUACAUCUGAUAAAACACGAGAAAGAUGCCAAUUCAGUCUAUCUGAGUGUUUUUCGACUUUUUAAAACUAUUUAAUAUGUAACUGAAAGCUGCAAUCUGGAAUAAAUCUAGAACUGGAACUGUAAUCUGCAAUCUGCAAUUUGACUGGUAAUUUAAACAAGGUUUUAGCAUUCGUUCUACCUAAGCACUAUAAACUGGUUAGUUUACUUAUUGGACGAGUAUCAUAUAAUUUUUUAAAACGACUAAUAGUAGUUGACUGAGAGGACAAUGGUGUUUUAAUUCUAUUUUGAUUGAUUGUAUGUUUACAAGAAGUUUAUAGAAUAUAAUGUGUCGAGCAACGCCUUUGCAAAGAGUCUUCUCUCGGCAUCACACAUACUCAUCUUUCCCCAUUCUUUCUUGCAGAACUGCCUGAUCGCACUAGUGCCUUGUUGCUACCAGUGACUAAGGAUAGCAAGUCCAAAGAAGAGAAUCACAAACUGCUAAAUGGAAAUUCAGGAGAUCCAACAGAAUGGGUAUAUAGAUUUAUGCAUUUUCUAUCCUAGGGAUUAUAGCUUUUCUCUCACUAUUGUAUAAGUUUGAAUACAUUAUAUUUAAUUUUGUGAAACAUAUUCAUUGCUAGAAUAUAUUGAACUAUUGUAAGAGUACUUUUUGAACUAUUGUGUAAACAUAUUUAGAAUAUUGCUUUAUAAGUAUGUGUAUGUAGACAAGACAUGCUAUCUUUUGAA